UUAUUUCGGUUCUGUUCAGUUGGAAGACACAUUAGCCUUACGUUACGUUAUUUUGAGUUUUUCGGCUUUACGUUUGAUUUUGUUUUUUGAUUUUUUCGUUUCGUUUAAUUUCAUUUCGUUCGUUUGGUUCGUAAAAAAACAAAAAAUAAAAUUCUACGUUUGAUUUGAUUUUCGGAAUGGUAGAAGGAAACUAAUCCAGGAAGGAUCAGAGUUGUCAACACAUAUACAACACUCUGAAAAAAAACCUAUAACUUUCGGCUCUAUUUGCUUUUAUUUGAAAUAUAAAUAGUUUAAAAAAAUUCAAUUCAAUUUCUUUAUUAAAAAAAAUUAAUUUUUUUUUUGCAAAAUUCUAUGUGUGUUUCGUAAUCACCGCCGCCACAUACCUUAGAAUAAAUAAGGAAAAAAACCAAUAAGUUUGUGAAGAAAAUUCAACUGAAAAAUGUUCUUAAUUUAAUUAAUGCAAUAACAACAGCUACAAAAACAUCACCCAAAACUCACAACAAAACAAAAGUUGAAUUAUUCUUCUUUAAUGUAAACAAAUUGUGAUCCGUUUAUAUAGAACAACAACAACAACAAAUAAAAGCGAGCGAAAACUUUUUGUUAUUAUAAAUUGUUUGCUACACUACUCUUUCUCUCUUUAAAAGAAGAAACUGAAAAGAAGAAAAAUAAUAACAAACAAAGAAAAGAAAAACAAUUUAAACAGUACUCUAGAAAACAAGGACUGACUGAAAACAAAAAUAACUUGAAGGACUUUCCUCUUUCAAAACAUCACAAAAAAGGACAGACAAAAAGAGCUCAUUUUAUUUAAUUAAUUUUUAUUAGUGAAAUUUUGUAAAUAAAAAUACAAUUUUAUAUACGUAUAUAUAUAAACAAUACUUUGUAUACGACGUAACGUAUCAAAUACAAACAAACAGACAGUAUUAUAUUGAAUUUAAAACAUAACAAAAAAAUCAAAGAUUUUAAACAGCUUAUAAUUUCACGUUCAUUUUC
rnacentral:sRNA from 1 species